UGGUUCUGGCAUCGAUGAAGAACGCAGCGAAAUGCGAUAAGUAAUGUGAAUUGCAGAAUUCCGUGAAUCAUCGAAUCUUUGAACGCAUAUUGCGCCCUUUGGUAUUCCGAAGGGCAUGCCUGUUCGAGCGUCAUUGCAACCCUCAAGCAUUGCUUGGUAUUGGUUAUCGUCUCCAGGACGUAUCCGAAAUUUCGUGGCGGUCUAGCGAGACUUCAAGCGAUCAAGAUUUAUAUCACGCUUUGCAAGCACCUCGUCGGUCUAGUCAGUCAAAUAUAAUUCUACGGUUGACCUCGGAUCAGGUAGGGAUACCCGCUGA
rnacentral:misc_RNA from 1 species